rfam:Merops nubicus contig54832, whole genome shotgun sequence.
CAAACAGCUUCUCUAGAAGCUAUCUUUUUAUUUAAGAAAAACAGUG